AAGAUUUUACUUCAUAAAAGUAAAUUUAUGGUAGAACAAAAUUCGACAUUCAAAUACCAUUUUUCACGUCUUUCUCUGGAAAUUUUACAAAAACGACAGCUAUGCUGUGCGAAGAAAAUCUAUAAAAAAAAUAUACCUCUCUUUGUAUUAAAUUUAUAAAAUUGCGCGAUGCCCGUACGUAAUUGCUGCGUAGGAUGCCAGGGGCCCAUGCCGGGGCCGUGCUGCGGGGGCCCCUGUGCCUCUCGCAUGGACUGCGGCACUGGACCAUGUUGUGUCCACUCUGUUGGAGCUUGCUGCUCUCCCUACUCUGGAGGAAUUGGCUGUUUGCAUGGUGCCCGUUGCGGUAUGGCGGGUUCGUACUACAGCUGCGGGCACGGGUGCAUAGGCGGGUGCACUAGCGGCCUCUGCGCGUCCUGUUGCGGCCCAUGCUGCGGCUGAUCCGGUCCUGGAAUUUAACAUUUCGUUACGUCCAUAUUUAAUAAAGUGUUGCGUUAA